CCCUUAGAUGUUCUGGGCUGCACGCGCGCUACACUGAUACUUUCAGCGAGUCCACCACCUUGCCUGGGAGGGUGGGGUAACCUCUGGAAAGUGCAUCGUGAUGGGGAUCGAUUAUUGUAAUUAUUAAUCUUCAACGAGGAAUUCCUAGUAAGCAUGUGUCAUCAGCCCGUGCUGAUUACGUCCCUGCCCUUUGUACACACCGCCCGUCGCUCCUACCGAUUGAGCGGUCCGGUGAAGACUCAGGAGAUGGGCGCGUGCUUGGUUCGCCAACUGCGCUGCCUGCCAAAUUUGUCUAAACCUUAUCGCUUAGAGGAAGGAGAAGUCGUAACA
rnacentral:rRNA from 1 species